rnacentral:rRNA from 1 species
UACGUAGGGUGCAAGCGUUAUCCGGAAUUAUUGGGCGUAAAGAGCUCGUAGGCGGUUUGUCGCGUCUGCUGUGAAAACUGGAGGCUCAACCUCCAGCCUGCAGUGGGUACGGGCAGACUAGAGUGCGGUAGGGGAGAUUGGAAUUCCUGGUGUAGCGGUGGAAUGCGCAGAUAUCAGGAGGAACACCGUUGGCGAAGGCAGGUCUCUGGGCAUUAACUGACGCUGAGGAGCGAAAGCAUGGGGAGCGAACAGG